UUAAGGUACUAAGGGCGCACGGGGGAUGCCUAGGCACCGACGGCCGAUGAAGGGCGUGGCAAGCUGCGAAAAGCUUCGGUGAGGCGCAAGCGGCCUUUGACCCGGAGAUACCCGAAUGGGGCAACCCGGCUGGUUUAAGACCAGUCACCCGCAAAUAGCGGGGGGAACCCGGCGAAGUGAAACAUCUCAGUAGCCGGAGGAAGAGAAAUCGAACCUUGAGAGAUUCCCUGAGUAGUGGUGAGCGAAAGGGGAAGUAGCCUAAACCACGGGCGUGCAAGGCUGCGGCCGUUGCGUACGUGGGGUUGAGGGGAUGUCGAGGCGGCUGCCGCAGUGGCCGCGUGAAGUUACAAAACCUGUAUCUAGCCGAACCGUGUUGGGAAAGCGGGCCACAGAAUGUGAAAGCCACGUAGGCGAAAGAGACGGGACUUCACCGGACAUACCCCGAGUAGGCCGGAGCACGUGGAAUUCCGGUUGAAUCAGGGCGGACCACCGUCCAAGGCUAAAUACCGUUGGUGACCGAUAGUGAAGCAGUACCGUGAGGGAAAGGUGAAAAGCACCCCUGGCGGGGAGUGAAAAGACCUGAAACCGUGCGCUUACAAGCAAUCGUAGUCCGGCACCCAGCCUGGGGUAUCAGAUUCCCGGGUCUGGAAUGGGGCCUUGGGUAACUAAUACCUUGAGCUGGGUGUCGGAUGGCGGUGUGCCUAUUGAAGAAUGAGCCGGCGAGUUACGGUAUGUGGCGAGGUUAAGGGCUUAUAGGUCUGGAGCCGCAGGGAAACCGAGUCUUAAUAGGGCGAACUAGUCGCAUGCUGUAGACCCGAAGCCGUACGAUCUAUCCAUGGGCAGGUUGAAGCCUCGGUGAAACGAGGUGGAGGACCGCACCACCGGCUGUUGAAAAAGCCUUGGAUGACCUGUGGAUAGGAGUGAAAAGCUAAUCGAGUACGGUGAUAGCUGGUUCUCCCCGAAAUGCAUUUAGGUGCAGCCUCGUAUAAAAAGAGUGGCGGGGGUAGAGCUACUGGAUGGAUGAGGGGGACUGGGGUCCUACCGAUUUCAACCAAACUCCGAAUACCGUUACUUGUAGAUACGGGAGUGAGACUACGGGUGAGAAGGUUCGUGGUCUAAAGGGAAACAGCCCAGACCGACAGCUAAGGUCCCUAAGCCCGCGCUGAGUGUGACAAGGAUGUGGGGGAGCCUGGACAGCCAGGAGGUUGGCUUAGAAGCAGCCACCCUUGAAAGAGUGCGUAACAGCUCACUGGUCGAGCGCCCCUGCGCCGAUAAUGUAGGGGGCUAAGCGCGGCGCCGAAGCUUCGGAACAUACAUACUUAAUAGUAUGUGUAGUUGGUAGGGGAGCGUUCUGUACGGGGCGAAGUCGUGUCGUGAGGCGCGGUGGACUGUACGGAAGUGAGAAUGCCGGCAUAAGUAGCGAGAAACGCGUGGGAAACGCGUUCGCCGAAUGCCCGAGGAUUCCUGGGGAAGGUUCAUCCUCCCAGGGUUAGGCGGGACCUAAGGUGAGGCCGAAGGGCGUAGCCGAUGGACAGCAGGUAGACAAUCCUGCCCCGCCCCGUAACCGUUACUACCGAUGGGGUGACGCAAGAGGCUAGGUGCUCCGGGUGAUGGAAAACCCGGUACAAAGGAGUAGGGGGACGGUCCAGGCAAACCCGGACUGUUGUUAACCCUGAGACCUGACGUGGAUCCGCCGUAACGGUGGAGAAGUCAUUGAGGCCCUAUUGCCGAGAAAAGCCUCUAGGGAGGGUAUGGGGCGCCCGUACCUCAAACCGACACAGGUGGGCUGGCUGAGCAGGCUAAGGCGGACGAGAUAACCCUCACCAAGGAACUCUGCAAGUUGACCCCGUAACUUAGGGAGAAGGGGUGCCGCGGCGGUGAAAUAUAGACAUAUGGAGCUGCUUGCGGUCGCAGAAACCAGGCCCAGGCGACUGUUUAGCAAAAACACAGGACUCUGCUGAAGGCGUGAAGCCGACGUAUAGGGUCUGACACCUGCCCGGUGCUGGAAGGUUAAGGGGAGAGGUUAUUGAUCUUUCGGGAUCGAGAAGCUUUGAACCGAAGCCCCAGUAAACGGCGGCCGUAACUAUAACGGUCCUAAGGUAGCGAAAUUCCUUGUCAGGUAAGUUCUGACCUGCACGAAUGGUGUAACGAUCUGGGCGCUGUCUCGGUGGGGGGCUCGGUGAAAUUGUGGUACCGGUAAAGACGCCGGUUACCCGUGGUGGGACGGGAAGACCCCGUGGAGCUUUACUGUAUCCUGAUAUUGGGUCUCGGUAUGUCAUGUACAGAAUAGGUGGGAGGCAUAGAAGGUGCGGCGUCAGCCGUGCUGGAGCCGUCGUUGGGAUACCACCCUUGAUGUACUGGGGUUCUAACCGCGAGUUCUGAAUCGGACCGCGGGACAUUGUCAGGUGGGCAGUUUGACUGGGGCGGUCGCCUCCUAAAGAGUAAC
rnacentral:rRNA from 1 species